GGAGCAGGACAACGAAAGGGAGCGGGAGCCGGGGAAGAGGGAUUGGGAGUGGGACUAGUAGCCGACGGUGGCUCAGUUUCAUCAUCAUCAUAUUCAUCAACAUUAUUAUCAAAACUAUCAACAUAAGCAUUAACAUCAUCAUGUUCAUCAUCUUCAGGUAAUUCCUCUUCAAAAUUACCAAAUCUUCUUUGUAAAUGUUCAUGAUAAGGAUCUAAUCCACUAUUACUAUCAAUAUUAAAAACAGUUUCAUCAACAUGCGUAUAAUCAUCCGUAUUUAUUCUUAAUUGAGAAGUUUUUUUAGUUUUAGAUUGAGAAGUACUACCGAUUUUUUUAUUUUUCUUGGAUUUUGAGCUCCAUAAA
rnacentral:lncRNA from 1 species